rnacentral:tRNA from 1 species
GCCUGGGUGGCUCAGUUGGUUAAGCGUCUGACUUCAGCUCAGGUCAUGAUCUCACGGUUUGUGAGUUCGAGCCCCACGUCGGGCU